AACGAACGCUGGCGGCGUGCUUAAUACAUGCAAGUCGAACGUGAAGUGUAGCAAUACACUAAAAGUGGCGAACGGGUGAGUAACACGUAAGUAAUCUGCCUCUAAGAUUGGGGUAACCCUGCCAACGCGGGGCUAAUACCGGAUGUGGUCAUGGAGACGCAUGUUUUCAUGAUUAAAGGAGUGAUCCGCUUAGAGAUGAACUUGCGGCCCAUUAGCUAGUUGGCGGGGUAACGGCCCACCAAGGCAACGAUGGGUAGCCGGCCUGAGAGGGUGGACGGCCACAUUGGGACUGAGAUACGGCCCAGACUCCUACGGGAGGCAGCAGUGGGGAAUUUUGGACAAUGGGCGCAAGCCUGAUCCAGCAAUGCCGCGUGCAGGAUGAAGGCCUUCGGGUUGUAAACUGCUUUUGUUACGGAACGAAAGGACUCUGGUUAAUACCUGGGGCGUCAUGACGGUACCGUAAGAAUAAGCACCGGCUAACUACGUGCCAGCAGCCGCGGUAAUCU
rnacentral:rRNA from 1 species